UGAGGGGGGGUAAAUACUGGGCCCAACAGGCAGCAGAUUGGCAGUGGUGUGGGCAACCCCAAAGGGAAGGGGGGUCCCUCUUUGGCUGGAGUAGUAAAGAUACCACUCUCUCUUAUAUAAGGGAGAAGAGUUUGGUAACAGCCAAAAACUUUGGUUGGCGAGUGGAGGGAAGUGACUAUGCUUUCCUGGUGUUUGAAAAGCCAGGCGAGGUGUGAGAGGCUGGGUGACCCCCUCUGUCCUAAGGCCCCCAGCAGGAAGGGUUCCUUAGUCUCUGGAAAGCUCGCUAACACGAGAAUGUAUGGUUCAACUCCGAUGCGGUUGCCUAGACUGAUGCCGAGUCGGACUGCUUGGGCUCCCCCUUGGAGACUGUUUUAACAACUUCAUUGCUUCAGUGUAUUUUUGAUGUAAGCCCCUUUGGGCGCUCUCUGAAUGGAAAGGCGGGAUAACAUUCCCCUAAUAAAGAAAUAAUAAAGCGUGUAGAAUGGUUGGUUGUUACACGAAGCCGUUUCCCAUUCUAAGUGCAGUGGAUGGCCUGGAGAGAUUUGCUUAGGGUUGCAGCUGUUUCAUGAUGCUGUAGAAGCAAAGGCAUUGAGCAGCCUUCAUCUAGCCCCACCGGGCUCUUGCUACAUUCUUAACCAAUCACGGCUCAGUCCGGUCUGGCACCGUGGGACUCUAGCUUCCUUGGCCUUCGCUCUUACGGCACGCCGGAAUUAUCUUUAUUGUGCCAAAUCCCCCGAUUAGGGAUGCAGGCAGCUGCCAUAUACUGAGUCAGAGCAUUGGUCCAGCUUGCCCAGUCUUGUCUACACUGACUGGCAGUGGCUGUCCAAGGCUUCAGGCAGGAGUCUCUCCCAGCCCUACCUGGAGAUGCUGCCAGGGAUGGAACCUGGGACCUUCUGCAUGCAAGCCUGCAGAUGCACUUCCACUGAGCUAGGGCCCCGUCGCCGAAGGGGGCUAUCUUACAGCAGGCAGCGCUCGCAUGUGGCCCCAUCCAAAUGCAAACCAGGGCAGAUCCUGCUUAGCAAAGAGGACAAUUAAGCGCGGCUUCUUCCCCAAGCCCCUGGUGUGCUCCAAGAUGGAAGCUGCCAUCCAUAAUGGAUGUUCUCUCCCGCUCAGUUAUUCAGGGGCCUAUCGGCACCACCUUGGUGCUGUUGAAGCUGGGAAAGGUUCCGCUUUGGGCUCUGAGGGACGCCCUGUAGUUUUUAAGGGAAAGCAGAGAUCAGCUGCUGCCUGAAUGUCUACCCAUGAGAUGAUGUCCUGCCAGGACGUGUGGGAUACAGAGGUGUAUGGCUACACAUGGAUGCCAGGGAAAGUUUCCCCCCCAUCUCGUUUUAUGCUUGACUCUGAGAACAUUAGGAUGCUAUCUACUCCCCACCCCCCUGUCACUCCCUAGCUGCAUCUGGCAAAGUCAGGUAGCCUUGAAUGGCAAAGAGAAGCAGGCACACCUGUGUGGGACAGGUAGGAAGGUGGGGUGGUACCACCUGGCCCAAGCACACCAGCUGUGUUCUCCUCUGUUGCCAAGGUUGGGAGGGAUUCUAGUUUGGUGAGUGCGCUGAUGUGCUCAGCCUGUUGGAACUUGUGGCAGCUUGGACAGAGGGAGACAUCCAUGCUUCUAGUCUUCUUGGAGGUAUUUCUGGAGGGAUACCUCAAAUCCUGGAACCAGAUCUGUGUUUCAAAAGCUGGUUGACACUCACAGCCCUGGAAGUAAUUUAUAUAGAUGAGAAUGAUUACUCCUAGCACUGGGCUGAAAGUUCUUCUCAGAACUUUUCCUGAUCUAAAGAUCUAAAGUCUGGAAGUUCUUGGGACACUCCCUCUGCCUGUGCCCUAUAUGUUGCUGCUCCCACCCCCUGCUUUAUGGUCCUGGCAAUAGCGGUGAUCACAAUCCCAGCAGGCCUGACUAUGGCCAGGUGCCAUUUUCUGGUUUACCCACUAGUCAAUACUGAGUGAGGACAGGAAUUAGUGCCCUUGCUCUGAUUUGACUUCAUGAUGACAUCAUGUGAUGGCCCUUGCACCCAGGCAAAGGCAUCCCUAGAGCCUGGGCUACACAUGUGGAAUCAGGUGGUGGAAUCCUUUCAUGGUAUAAUGAGCAGUGCUGCUUCAGGUGGAGGGGCCACAUUUUAAUGCUGUUCCAUGUGCACACCUCCCUGCAGGCAGAAAUCUAGCACAUCUGGUAGAAAGCACUCCCUGCUGUGCUUGUUUUCUAUUUGCAGAGAGUAUUUUUCUAUAGGGGAGUAUUUAGAAACAAACAAAAAUCCCCUACAGUCCAAAGUGGUACAACCCAUUCGGACAUCAAGUGAGGAGUAUGCCUGCAUCAACGGGACAUUAGUAGUACAGGCAGAUGGUGCACGAUCCACCUGAGUUAUGCAGGUAGAUAUUGCACUGUGUUCAUGAUGUCCUGCCUCUUAAGAACCUUAGAACAGCCCUGCUGGAUCAGGCCCAAGGAGGCCCAUCUAGUCCAGUAGCCUGUUUCCCACAGUGGCCCACCAGAUGCCUCUGGGGAGCCCACAGGCAAGAGGUCUGUGCAUGCCCUCUCUCCUGCUGCUGAUGCUCCCCUGCAACUGGUAUCGAGAGGCAUCGUGCCUCUGAGGCUGGAGGUGGCCCACAGCCACCAGACUCGUAGCCACUGACAGGUCUAGUCUUCUGAAACUCGUGCCACAGUAGACCAGCUGGUCUCUUAAGGUCCACAGCACUCUUUGAGUCCUCACGUCUAUGAAACACUAAGCAAAGAAGCAGCCAAAAUGUGAACGGGGGAAAAGUUUCUGUCCCAGAUUUGAGUGGGUAUAAGUUAGAAAGUGGCAGCAGGGUGGCUUUGAGGUUGCCGCGUGUGGGGCCGCCAGAAUCCAGCAGAGGGCAUAUUCAUGUGCAAGACCGGUGCCCUCAACACAAGCAGCGUCCUGGCGGAUUUAGAGCCAGUGUGUGUAAAAAUCAUGUGCCUUAAAAUGUUCACAGUAGCAGGGCAUUAGAGGGGGCCCAAACCCGAAAUAGGACAAAACCAACCAUGUGUCAUCUCGUGUAAUCUUCCUCAACAUGAUUGCUGUCGUUUUAGACCGGUGAGGCGAGGGGAACAGUGUGUGUGUGGGACGGGGGGGGUCCUUUUGCAUUGUAUUUACACUGUACUAUAAGCAGACCGGCUUGGUUUUAAGAGUAAGAGCGGGGGAUUACGCUUUCACAGAACCAAUGUUUAACAUAACUCGAAUGUAUUAAUAUUAUUCUAGGAACUUUCCGUAACACAGACAAGUAGAAUGCUUGUUGAAACCAGGUGUGUAGGUUAACAAUUUGAUGUGUUUUCAAUAAACAAUGCCUGAAUCAAACACGUGUGGGGCUGGUUAUUUGGGUUGGCGCUGGGCGCCCUUUGGGUUGGGAGACCAGGUCUUCCUUGUCUGAGCAUUCAUGGCGCUCCUAGCAAUGGAUGAGGUGAAGGGAGCUCAACUUCAUCAGCGUUCUGCUGGGCUGGGGCUUCUGGCGUCGGAAAGGGAAACCGUUCACCGUGUACUAACAUGGCCACAAGCCACUUGAAGAAGACAGCCAGCUAAAAUGAAAUGGAUUAUUUCUACACAUUGACCUUUUACAGCUGUCAGAACCCGUUCGUUGUGAGCUCAUCACCCGUUCCGGUGAUGUCAAAGGCGAACCUGGAAACCGCGGGGCCCUCAUCCGUUUUGGAUUCCGACAGUCUCCGGUGUACUGCUUUGACUUGGGUCUCUCUCUCUCUUGGGUGCCGGUUGGUGUCUCCUAACAGGCUUGGGUGUUUCUCGUUAAAGGAAAGCUCUGCCUGCCAAAACGUUCCUUUCUGUUGUUUGGAUUGGGCCUGCCUUAUUCCUGCGCAGCAGUUUUCUUAUCCACAGUUCAGACGUGCGAGAACCAAGCCCAGGAAUAAAGAGAGGCCAAGUGUCUCUUGAAAUGGCAGGUGGGGAAGCCGUCUCUCACGUCCUGGUUCGCGUGGGUAAGUGAUCCAGCAAGCUUAUGUGGGUUCCUACCACGUUCUGUGGUUGCCUUUGCAGCCUAAUAGACAUGCAAAUGGACUUCGUAAGUAUGACUAGUGAUGUUGCACCAGAUGGGGCCAGAAUAUUGCGGGGAACUUGGUGCUUCCAUAAUGAGUGAGCCAGUUCAGCUGUCUUGCAGGACCAUUGGUAAAUCUUGGGCUUGUCCCAUGUCAAAGGAACCUCUGUUCUCUGUAAUUUUUUCAUCUGUGUGCGGAAUGAGUUUUUUUCCAGGUGGCAGUUUCAAGGCAGUGUGUGCGCACCUGCAUUCAGAGUGGGGCCUUCCUGCUUCAUCCUGUGCGGCAUCUAAAAUUAACUCAGCGGACAUCAACCAAUUUGUGAGUGCACGCAUUAGAGGGAAAACUGAUAGCAACAUAGGAAGCUGCCAUAUACCGAGUCAGACCCUGGGUCCAUCCAGCUCAGUAUUGUCUACACAGACUGGCAGCAGCUUCUCCAAGGCUGCAGGCAAGAGAUUACCUGACCCCAGAUACACGAAACUGCAGAUAACAAAUCUGUGUGUAACAAGAGCAUUCAGUAUAUAAAUAUCAGUAGUAUUCGUAUUCGCCCUAUUCAGACGUUAAGUUGUACAAGUAUAUGGUAGUCUGUGUGCUCUAAUAAUGCUUUUAUUAUUAUUAUUACAUUUAUAUCCCGCUCUUCCUCCAAGGAACCCAGAGCGGUGCACUACAUACUUAAGUUUCUCUUUCACAACAACCCUGUGAAGUAGGCUAGGCUGAGAGAGAAGUGACUGGCCCAGGGUCACCCAGCAAGCCUCAUGGCUGAAUGGGGAUUUGAACUCGGGUCUCCCCGGUCCUAGUCCAGCACUCUAACCACUACACCCCACUGGCUUUUGUAUGGAUAACUAUACCUCUGCCCAUUUUCAGAGUGAAUCUGGAUGCAAACCCUCAAAUGGGUGGUACAGAUCGGAAGUUAAGUGUACUGCUGUGCCUGCGUUCAACAUAGCAUGUGUGUGAUUAUUCCCGUGUACAGUUCUGUGCCUAAGUACACAGGUGUGAGUGCUCAGCAUAAUGUCUGAAUAGGACUAGAGUGCAAAGCUCCAGGCUGGCAACCCUCUCUGGAAGGCAGGUGAAGUUGGGGGACGAAAACCAUUUACUAACCAAGGCUCCCAGCACAAGGGCAGGAAUCCCCGGGAACCAGUCCGGUCAACUUAUCAUGCUAGAGGACGACAUGCACUGAAAGUAAUUUUAGCUUCAGGGUGUUUUAUUUUCCUUCUGAGCAUUUGGAUUGCUUUGGCUGAAGUUACUCCACAAAUCUGUUCUGGGGCUCGGGAAAAGUGGGGAACUGGAAACCCUUUGGUUGUCAGGCUUCCCAGACGGUGUUGCUGAAAUGAUGACAUGGCUCAGGAGUGCUUGGGCACCGUUCCUGCAAGGUCCUGCGUUGACAUCUCUGCUCAGGCCUGCUCAGCAUUAAGAACAUAAGAAGAGCCCAGCUGGAUCCAGCCAGUGGUGACCAGCUUCCAAGUGUGGUCGGCCGGAUGCAUCAGGGAUAGACUGCUUCUGGCCAUUGGGGCUCCAUUUAGCAAUCAUGGAAGCCGAUAGAGCUUGGGCAAAAAGACGGGUUUUCAGUUGGUUUUUUUGAAAAUUGCCAGAGAUGGGGAGGAUCGUAUCUCAGCAGGGAGCACAUUCCACAGUCUCGGGGCAGCGACCGAGAAGGCCCGUCUCAGUGUAUCCACCAGACGAGUUGGCGGUAACAUUAGGAGAGGCGGUGAGAAAGGAAGGUGGUGCACUCAAAGCGCUGGUUGUUCCGGAUGUACUUGACGAACUCGGGCGCCCCAGGGAAGAUGAUAUUGUCAGCCAGGAGAAUGGAGCCCUUCCUCAGCAAACCACAUUCCUGGGGAGGAGGAGAAAGAGAAGCGUUCUGGACAAGGAAUCUCAGGUGGUCCAGGAAGACAAAAUCCAGGGUGUCCACCUCGUAUUUUUUCUUCAGCUGCGGGAUAAUGUCCUCCGAAUGGCCCUCGAGGAUCGUCACCUGAAAGCCAGAGCAUUGGAAUGACUGAGCCAAUCUUGGAUGCUUGCGCAGCUGGGUGCCAUUUAAAGCUCCAGUUGCUCUUCACUGCUUGUGUGAAUUGCCUCGGUGUAAAACUACAGCUGAACCACGGCGAGGGGGAUCUGGGUUACUUGUUGAGUGUGUGUGUGUUUGUGUUUAAAUAAACUGGUUCAAUUGUUUCUUA